rnacentral:lncRNA from 1 species
AAAAAUUCUGCAACAAGAAGAACACGUUAAAAUUCCUGCAGCCAACUGAACAACAAACUCAAACAGUUGUCCUCUCUCCAAUUCGGACCAUUACUUCCAACAAGGAAAAAUUGAAAGUCAACUUUUUCCCUUUUCCAUCAAACAUAAACCCUAAUUUUUGGGUAUAAAUAAAAGGAACCAAAACUCAAAGAAAAGAAAAAAAGGAGAACCACAGCCGCACCUGCAAAGAAACAAUCAACAACAAACCCAAAAAGAACAGCCGCAACAGUACAACCACAACCAAAACCCUAAAAUUUUUCAUCACAGAAACCAAACUUUCAAAACCACAGAAAAAAGCCAAAAACCACACAGAAACCACCAACCAAUCUUCAACCUCCAUCCAGUUUCAACCAUAUCCUCAAAUCAUCAAAACCAAAAGGAAAAUCUAAAAAAAAAACAACAAAACAGAAACCGAAACAAAACAGAAGGAAGAAGGAGCGAAAAGAAGAAGAAAAAAAACCUUGAAAACUGCCUUCUCCGAUCUACGUUUGGGUGAGAUUUUCGAAUUUUUCAUGCUCAUUUUCGUAUUCUAGGGUUUGAAUAAAGGGGGGUUUAGUGU